AUGGGUAAAGUUGAAGGAUGUGUUGAGGAUUUUGUGGUGAAGGAAGCACAACUGUGUUUGAUAGAGGACUUGAUUGGAGAGCAGAAGCAAGAGCUUAGGGUAAAAGAGAAGCAACAUGAAGGACUAGUGAUGAAAUGGGAAUUAAAAGACAGAGAAUUCGAAGGCCAAAUGAAGGAGAUGGAAUCACAAAAGAGGCAUUUUGAAAGCCUAGUAGAUGAACUCAAAGCAAAAGAAAGGCAGUUGAAAGGACAAGUUUGUUGA